UUUCUUGGUUUUUGUUUUGAUUUUUAUAAAGCGCAAACAGUGUUGUAAAUAAGUGAAAACUUUAAAAGCAAUUGCAAAUAUUUUCAUAAAAAACUAAUUUUUCAACAUAUCCAUGAGCUAACAAUCGUCUUGUCGUGAAUGUGAAACGCCAAACAACCUUCAGGCAUUCGGAAGUACAAUAAUAAAUUAAUUGGUUUAUAUAAAAUAAAUAUAAAAUUAAUAAUAAUAACAA